rnacentral:rRNA from 1 species
CCUACGGGUGGCUGCAGUGAGGAAUAUUGGUCAAUGGGCUUACGCCUGAACCAGCCAAGUCGCGUGAGGGAAGACUGCCCUAUGGGUUGUAAACCUCUUUUGUCAGGGAGCAACGCCGGCUACGUGUAGCCGGACUCAGAGUCCCUGAAGAAAAAGCCUCGGCUAACUCCGUGCCAGCAGCCGCGGUAAUACGGAGGAUGCGAGCGUUAUCCGGAUUUAUUGGGUUUAAAGGGUGCGUAGGCGGAAUGCCAAGUCAGCGGUAAAAUCGCGGGGCUCAACCUCGCUCCGCCGUUGAAACUGGCGGGCUGGAGUGGGCGAGAGGUAGGCGGAAUGCGUGGUGUAGCGGUGAAAUGCGUAGAUAUCACGCAGAACUCCGGUUGCGAAGGCAGCAUACCGGAGCCCAACUGACGCUGAAGCACGAAAGCGUGGGUAUCGAACAGGAUUAGAUACCCUGGUAGUC